rnacentral:rRNA from 1 species
GCUGGAGGUAUCAGAAGUGCGAAUGCUGACAUAAGUAACGAUAAAGCGGGUGAAAAGCCCGCUCGCCGGAAGACCAAGGGUUCCUGUCCAACGUUAAUCGGGGCAGGGUGAGUCGACCCCUAAGGCGAGGCCGAAAGGCGUAGUCGAUGGGAAACGGGUUAAUAUUCCCGUACUUGGUGUUACUGCGAAGGGGGGACGGAGAAGGCUAUGUUGGCCGGGCGACGGUUGUCCCGGUUUAAGCGUGUAGGCUGGUUUUCCAGGCAAAUCCGGAAAAUCAAGGCUGAGGCGUGACGACGAGGCACCACGGUGCUGAAGCAACAAAUGCCCUGCUUCCAGGAAAAGCCUCUAAGCAUCAGGUAACACGAAAUCGUACCCCAAACCGACACA